GAUGAACGCUGGCGGCGUGCCUAAUACAUGCGAGUCGAGCGAACGGACGAGAAGCUUGCUUCUCUGAUGUUAGCGGCGGACGGGUGAGUAACACGUGGAUAACCUACCUAUAAGACUGGGAUAACUUCGGGAAACCGGAGCUAAUACCGGAUAAUAUUUUGAACCGCAUGGUUCAAAAGUGAAAGACGGUCUUGCUGUCACUUAUAGAUGGAUCCGCGCUGCAUUAGCUAGUUGGUAAGGUAACGGCUUACCAAGGCAACGAUGCAUAGCCGACCUGAGAGGGUGGUCCGCCACACUGGAACUGCGGCACGGUCCAGACUCCUACGGGAGGCAGCAGUAGGGAAUCUUCCGCAAUGGGCGAAAGCCUGACGGAGCAACGCCGCGUGAGUGAUGAAGGUCUUCGGAUCGUAAAACUCUGUUACUAAGGAAGAACAUAUGUGUAAGUAACUGUGCACAUCUUGACGGCACCUAAUCAGAAAGCCACGGCUAACUACGUG
rnacentral:rRNA from 1 species